rnacentral:rRNA from 1 species
CGCAUCUGUGCAUGCAGCAUAUCAAUAAGCGGAGGAAAAGAAACCAACAAGGAUUCCCCUAGUAACGGCGAGUGAAGCGGGAAGAGCUCAAAUUUGAAAUCUUAAAGGGUUUCCCUUUACGAAUUGUAGUUUAAAGAAGUGUUUUCUGUUGAGGUUUUGGUAAAAGUUCUUUGGAAUAGGACAUCAUAGAGGGUGAGAAUCCCGUAUUUGACCUUUACUUUCAACUUUGUGAUACACUUUCAAAGAGUCGGAUUGUUUGGGAAUGCAGUCCAAAAUGGGUGGUAAAUUUCAUCUAAAGCUAAAUAUUGGCGAGAGACCGAUAGCGAACAAGUACCGUGAGGGAAAGAUGAAAAGAACUUUGAAAAGAGAGUUAAACAGUACGUGAAAUUGUCAAAAGGGAAGCGUUUGACACCAGUGUUGUUUUUCUGAAAAUCAAUUAAAGAACUGUUUAUGCUAAGCUGUUUAGACUUUAUCAGCUAACUGUUUAGUUUUGAGCUUUUCUUUAAUGCACUUUUCAGUUAACAAGUCAACAUCAAUUUCUCUUGCUGUAAAAAAGCUUGAGGAAGGUGGCUUGAGAUUCGUCUUAAGUGUUUAUAGCCUCUUGCCUAUGCAGUCGGAGAGAUUGAGGUCUGCAGCGUAGAUCCUUCGGGGCUAAAUGCAUUUGUGCUAAGUUAUAACAUUUUAUAGACAACUUGUUGACUAUGAUUUGUCUUGUAGCUUACUCGCUUAUGUUAUUUUACCUACGCUUAGGAUGUUGAAUCUGUGCGAGACUAC